rnacentral:rRNA from 1 species
GACGAACGCUGGCGGCGUGCUUAACACAUGCAAGUCGAACGUGAUUUUUGUGGAAAUUCUUUCGGGAAUGGAAAUGAAAUGAAAGUGGCGAACGGGUAAGUAACACGUGAGCAACCUACCUUACACAGGGGGAUAGCCGUUGGAAACGACGAUUAAUACCGCAUGAGACCACAGAAUCGCAUGAUAUAGGGGUCAAAGAUUUAUCGGUGUAAGAAGGGCUCGCGUCUGAUUAGCUAGUUGGAAGGGUAAAGGCCUACCAAGGCGACGAUCAGUAGCCGGUCUGAGAGGAUGAACGGCCACAUUGGAACUGAGACACGGUCCAAACUCCUACGGGAGGCAGCAGUGGGGAAUAUUGCACAAUGGGGGGAACCCUGAUGCAGCGACGCCGCGUGAGCGAAGAAGGUUUUCGAAUCGUAAAGCUCUGUCCUAUGAGAAGAUAAUGACGGUAUCAUAGGAGGAAGCCCCGGCUAAAUACGUG